GACGAACGCUGGCGGCGUGCUUAACACAUGCAAGUCGAACGGAAAGGCCCUGCUUUUGUGGGGUGCUCGAGUGGCGAACGGGUGAGUAACACGUGAGUAACCUGCCCUUGACUUUGGGAUAACUUCAGGAAACUGGGGCUAAUACCGGAUAGGAGCUCCUGCUGCAUGGUGGGGGUUGGAAAGUUUCGGCGUUUGUGGAUGUACUCGCGGCUUAUCAGCUUGUUGGUGGGGUAGUGGCUUACCAAGGCUUUGACGGGUAGCCUGCCUGAGAGGGUGACCGGCCACAUUGGGACUGAGAUACGGCCCAGACUCCUACGGGAGGCAGCAGUGGGGAAUAUUGCACAAUGGGCGGAAGCCUGAUGCAGAAACGCCGCGUGCGGGAUGCCGGCUUUCGGGUUGUAAACCGCUUUCGCCUGUGACGAAGCGUGAGUGACGGUAAUGGGUAAAGAAGCACCGGCUAACUACGUG
rnacentral:rRNA from 1 species